rnacentral:misc_RNA from 1 species
CGAAUUAACUGAUUUGUUGUACUACAAGCAAACACAGUUAGAAGCCAUGGCUAGUGAAAAAGCUGCAGCAGAGUUUCAGUUGGAGAAGGAGGUAAAGCGUCUUCAAGAAGCAGAGGUUGAGGCAGAAAGGACUAGAGUCUAUCGCCGUGCAUCCUCGUUUUGGGAAGAAGACUCCGAAAUGAAGGCACUUGAGCCUCUUCCCUUGCAUCACCGU